rnacentral:tRNA from 1 species
AAAUAAGUAAGCUAAAAUAAGCUCUUAGGUUCAUACCCUAAUUAUAGAAACUAUAAUUUUCUCUUAUUUA